AUGUUCACUGUUAUAUUCAUGUGUCUGUGGCUUUCACUAGGUGACUCCAUGGCAGAUUCAAUACAGCCACUUUCCCCUCGUGAAGUUGUAGAUGAAGGUGAUGAUGUUACUCUGUCCUGCAAAUACAAACCCAGCAGUGCUACAGGAAACUACCUCCAGUGGUACAGACAAUAUCCAAAAUCUAAACCUGAGUUCCUUCUUUAUAUUUCUCAAACUGGAGAUCUGAGUCCCAAGCCUCCCCCAAGAAUGUCUGCUAAAGUUGACAAUAAUAAAGAUAAUAACCAAGUGGAUCUGCUCAUCUCCUCUGCUGCUGUAUCAGACUCUGCACUAUACUACUGUGCUCUGCGGCCCACAGUGACAGGAAAUCCAACUGCACAAAAACUUUAACACAGUUUUGUUCUACUGAAUAUAGAGCAAAUGCAAAGUUCAAUAAUUUA